UACGUAGGGGGCAAGCGUUAUCCGGAUUUACUGGGUGUAAAGGGAGCGUAGACGGCGAAGCAAGUCUGAAGUGAAAACCCAGGGCUCAACCCUGGGACUGCUUUGGAAACUGUUUUGCUAGAGUGCUGGAGAGGUAAGUGGAAUUCCUAGUGUAGCGGUGAAAUGCGUAGAUAUUAGGAGGAACACCAGUGGCGAAGGCGGCUUACUGGACAGUAACUGACGUUGAGGCUCAAAAGCGUGGGGAGCAAACAGG
rnacentral:rRNA from 1 species